ACAAAAACGACGACAGAAGAGUAAUUUGUUAAGUUGGUUCAGAGAGUUGACGGUGGUGCAAGUCAAUCCAUUUAGUGAAUGAAACACAUCUGUAAGUUGAAUAACUGAAGUCAUAGUAAGUUAUUUCGGUAGUCCCGUUACCACUGAAGUUAUUUAAUAACUUUUUGAGUCUAAUACCGUGAGAUAUUAGAAAUCAGAGGUGGUACCGCGAAAUUCGCCCUCUUA
rfam:Lactobacillus sp. WiKim39, complete genome.